GUGCCAGCCGCCGCGGUAAUACGUAGGGUGCAAGCGUUGUUCGGAAUCACUGGGCGUAAAGAGAGCGUAGGCGGGAUCGUAAGUUAGAAGUUUAAUGCAUGGGCUUAACCCAUGACCUGCUUUUAAUACUGCGGUUCUUGAGUAUGGGAGAGGGCGAUGGAAUUCCAGGUGUAGCGGUGGAAUGCGUAGAUAUCUGGAAGAACACCAGUAGCGAAGGCGGUCGCCUGGCCCAAUACUGACGCUGAGGCUCGAAAGCUAGGGGAGCAAACAGGAUUAGAAACCCCUGUAGUCC
rnacentral:rRNA from 1 species